GCGAUGUCUGGGAGUGGGAAUAAAACAUUGAAGACUCGCAUUUUUCGUGUUUAUGUAUUGAUUCGUGGAUGUAAUUAUGAAAAAGUGCAUAUUCUAUGGACUACUUACCUCGGAUGGAACCGGCAACUAGAAUAGAUGGCGGUAAUUAUCUGGGCCUUUCUGUCAGGAAAUAGGCGUGAACAACUAUAAUUUAAUUGAUCCUGGAAAUCAUCCACCACUAACAGAAAACGUUUUAACAACAGAAGCUGAUGUAUGACAUGUCCAAAUGACCAUAUAUAACUGUUUAACAAAUUAAGUGAGAUGAUUUAUUUUCUGAUGUUUUAUAUUUCUUUUUCCCUUUCAAAUGAUGUAAAUUGGUGUGAUUCUAUGUUUAAAUAAUUAAUUUUGAAACAUUUAGGCAGCAUACUGUUUAAUACAUUGAAGUUAACAUUGUUAUAUUAUUUUGGUUAUCUGUGUUGUUUAUCAAGUUGAAAAAAAUGGUAUUUAUAUACAAAUAAAGCUUAUUAAGACUUA